AGUCUGAAGUCUGACAGUCUAAAGGAGGGUCUCGAUGAGAAACGUCACCCAUUCCUUCUCUCCAGAGAUACUGCCUGUCCUGCUGAGUUACUCCAGCAUUUUGUGUC